UUUACCUACGGGACGCAGCAGUAGGGAAUUUUCGUCAAUGGGCGGGAGCCUGAACCAGCCAAGCCGCGUGAGGGAAGAGGUACAGCGUAUCGUAAACCUCUUUUGUCAGGGAACAAAGGCGGGGACGUGUCCCCGGAUGAGUGUACCUGAAGAAAAAGCAUCGGCUAACUCCGUGCCAGCAGCCGCGGUAAUACGGAGGAUGCGAGCGUUAUCCGGAUUUAUUGGGUUUAAAGGGUGCGCAGGCGGUCUGGUAAGUCAGCGGUCAAAGCCCGGGGCUCAACCCCGGCCCGCCGGUGAAACUGGCA
rnacentral:rRNA from 1 species